rnacentral:rRNA from 1 species
UACGUAGGGUGCGAGCGUUGCUCGGAAUUACUGGGCGUAAAGCGCACGUAGGCGGCUUUCUAAGUCGGGGGUGAAAUCCUGGAGCUCAACUCCAGAACUGCCUUCGAUACUGGAGAGCUUGAGUCCGGGAGAGGUGAGUGGAACUGCGAGUGUAGAGGUGAAAUUCGUAGAUAUUCGCAAGAACACCAGUGGCGAAGGCGGCUCACUGGCCCGGUACUGACGCUGAGGUGCGAAAGCGUGGGGAGCAAACAGG